AGUAACACGUGGAUAACCUACCUAUAAGACUGGGAUAACUUCGGGAAACCGGAGCUAAUACCGGAUAAUAUUAUGAACCGCAUGGUUCAAAAGUGAAAGACGGUCUUGCUGUCACUUAUAGAUGGAUCCGCGCUGCAUUAGCUAGUUGGUAAGGUAACGGCUUACCAAGGCAACGAUGCAUAGCCGACCUGAGAGGGUGAUCGGCCACACUGGAACUGAGACACGGUCCAG
rnacentral:rRNA from 1 species